rnacentral:rRNA from 1 species
CGUCUAUAUACGUAUAGCAUAUCAAUAAGCGGAGGAAAAGAAACUAACUAGGAUUCCCUCAGUAACGGCGAGUGAAGCGGGAAGAGCUCAAAUUUGAAAUCUUCAAGGUUUUACCUUGACGAAUUGUAGUUUAAAGAAGUGUUUUCUGUUGGAGUUUUGGUAAAAGUUCUUUGGAAUAGGACAUCAUAGAGGGUGAGAAUCCCGUAUUUGACCAUUAUUUCCAACUUUGUGAUACACUUUCAAAGAGUCGGAUUGUUUGGGAAUGCAGUCCAAAAUGGGUGGUAAAUUUCAUCUAAAGCUAAAUAUUGGCGAGAGACCGAUAGCGAACAAGUACCGUGAGGGAAAGAUGAAAAGAACUUUGAAAAGAGAGUUAAACAGUACGUGAAAUUGUCAAAAGGGAAGCGUUUGACACCAGUGUUGUUUUCUCGAAAAUCAAUUAAAAAUGGCGGGAUUUUGUGUUGUAUUGACUUUAUCAGCUUUCUGCACUUUUUUCUUGUCUUUUUUAAUGCACUUUUCGUUUAACAAGUCAACAUCAAUUUCUUUUGUUGUAAAAGGGUCAUUGGAAGGUGGCUUUCUUUUCGGAGAAAGUGUUUAUAGCCUUUGACUUCUGCAAUCGGAGAGAUUGAGGUCUGCAGCGUAGAUCCUUCGGGGUUAGAUACAUUUGUGCUAAGUUAUAGCCUUUCAUAGACAACUUGUUGACUAUGAUCAGUCAUGUAGCUUACUCGCUUAUGUCAUUUUACCUACGCUUAGGAUGUUGACGAUCAGCUGAGCGCG